rnacentral:lncRNA from 1 species
CGCAACUGGCUCGAAGAGGAAUCUUCCGCCGCCUCCAAGUUAGCCAUCUUUCUCUCGAUCACGAUUCUUUUUUUUUUUUUUAAUUUUACUUUCACGAAGUUGUUUGUUUAGGGAUUAUGAUUUUGUAAUUUUUUCUCAGCGAGCUUAGUGCGCUGAUAGAUUUCAGAGCAAUCUUUGAUUGAAUUCGUAUCCAAGUAUUGUAAAAAGAUAAUUAGAACGAAACCGUAGUUUCUUUGGGUGACCAGUUUCUAAGAUUUGGUAACUUGAUAAAUUAAGAAAAAUUGAUUAGUGUAGUAAUGACUUGAUGGUGACAGUGGUUUAAGUGUGCAAAAGAGGAGUGUGGUUCAGUGCUGGUUAUUAGAUAGCAACACAAAAGCAAAGUGAGUGAGUGUGUGAGUGGCUGAUGAGUUUGAUUGUGGGUUUUUUUUUUUCAGGGCAGCUCAGUCAGCAAAACCAAAGGAAAUUGAAACCAAGGUUCCGGAGAAGGAUGUUCCAAAAGACAAGAAUUAGUGUGUGUGUUGUGCUUUUCUGUAUACAUACACGAAGGUUUUUUCUGUUUUGGUAAGAGUUGUGGAUGUAUGACUCCGGUUUCAACACUACUUAGCUGUGAAUUUUUGUUUUGGUUGUCUGUCUCCAUCUCUCACGUCUUAGCGUUUGAGCAAUGUUGGAAGUGAAUGAAACACAAUAAUAUCCAAUUAUACCUCUUGUAACUGACAUUUUUCCAAGGGAUUUUUUUCUUGAUAUGUAUCUGAAAUUUGAUUGAACAUGUACUUAUUUUGCAGCGGCAAUUGCAUAUUCUCUUAUAAAAUAAAGCUUACAAAAGCCUGGCAUGAUAGUGGGCUUUUUGUUGUGAAGGCCCAACAAUGCAGACUCUUAAAAGAAAAUAAAUUUGCCUGAAAAGCCCAAGGCUCUAUUUCCUCCAUCGCGUAGGAGGGUAAAAAAGUAACGAAC